GAUGAACGCUGGCGGCGUGCCUAAUACAUGCAAGUCGAGCGAACAGACGAGGAGCUUGCUCCUCUGACGUUAGCGGCGGACGGGUGAGUAACACGUGGAUAACCUACCUAUAAGACUGGGAUAACUUCGGGAAACCGGAGCUAAUACCGGAUAAUAUAUUGAACCGCAUGGUUCAAUAGCGAAAGACGGUUUUGCUGUCACUUAUAGAUGGAUCCGCGCCGCAUUAGCUAGUUGGUAAGGUAACGGCUUACCAAGGCAACGAUGCGUAGCCGACCUGAGAGGGUGAUCGGCCACACUGGAACUGAGACACGGUCCAGACUCCUACGGGAGGCAGCAGUAGGGAAUCUUCCGCAAUGGGCGAAAGCCUGACGGAGCAACGUCGCGUGAGUGAUGAAGGUCUUCGGAUCGUAAAACUCUGUUAUUAGGGAAGAACAAAUGUGUAAGUAACUAUGCACGUCUUGACGGUACCUAAUCAGAAAGCCACGGCUAACUACGUG
rnacentral:rRNA from 1 species